rnacentral:rRNA from 1 species
CAGCCGCCGCGGGAAAACGAAGGGUGCAAGCGUUACUCGGAAUUACUGGGCGUAAAGCGUGCGUAGGUGGUGGUUUAAGUCCGUUGUGAAAGCCCUGGGCUCAACCUGGGAAUUGCAGUGGAUACUGGGUCACUAGAGUGUGGUAGAGGAUAGUGGAAUUUCCGGUGUAGCAGUGAAAUGCGUAGAGAUCGGAAGGAACAUCUGUGGCGAAGGCGACUAUCUGGGCCAACACUGACACUGAGGCACGAAAGCGUGGGGAGCAAACAGGAUUAGAUACCCCCGUAGUCCCUGUCUCUUAUAC